GACAGAGGGGGCAAGCGUUGCUCGGAAUUACUGGGCGUAAAGCGCGCGUAGGCGGCUUUGUAAGUCAGAGGUGAAAUCCCGGGGCUCAACUCCGGAACUGCCUUUGAAACUGCAUCGCUUGAAUCCGGGAGAGGUGAGUGGAAUUCUGAGUGUAGAGGUGAAAUUCGUAGAUAUUCGGAAGAACACCAGUGGCGAAGGCGGCUCACUGGACCGGCAUUGACGCUGAGGUGCGAAAGCGUGGGGAGCAAACAGG
rnacentral:rRNA from 1 species